AAAAAAAAAAUUCAGCAUGCUAAACAUCGAAGAAACUAGGAUGCAUUUUUAGCGUGGCCAUUGAUGAGGAGGUCGACGAGGCUGUGGAGGAGGCAGAGGAGGAAUGUGCGGUAGGCGACGGAGAAGGCGGCGGGCAUGAGGCGGUCCCUGAUCGUUUGGAGGCGAGGAAGAAGAAGAGGAAGAGGUGAGGGAGGCGGCCUCGCCAUGGGAGCAUCUAAUUUAACCACCCAAAGAUAGAUUCCAAAACUUAGGAGGGAAAAGGAAAAAAAAAGAACAGAGAAAGGAAAGAAGAUAAUAGAGAAAUCUAGGUCCUCUUGGAGGCAGCGAUGGUGGAGCCCCUCGAAGAGUUGCUGGAGGGUUGCCUCGCCGCUGCC
rnacentral:lncRNA from 1 species